rnacentral:rRNA from 1 species
CACGUAGGGUGCGAGCGUUGUCCGGAAUUAUUGGGCGUAAAGAGCUCGUAGGCGGUGUGUCGCGUCGGCCGUGAAAACCUGCAGCUUAACUGCGGGCUUGCAGCCGAUACGGGCAGGCUAGAGUUCGGUAGGGGAGACUGGAAUUCCUGGUGUAGCGGUGAAAUGCGCAGAUAUCAGGAGGAACACCGGUGGCGAAGGCGGGUCUCUGGGCCGAUACUGACGCUGAGGAGCGAAAGCGUGGGUAGCAAACAGG